CCCGUUGCUGCUCCAAGGAACUGCCACGAACGUGGUGGCUUGAAACACGACACAUUCUUCCCUUCCAGUUCUGGGGGUCAGAAGUCCACCCCUGAACCAAAAUCGAGACAGCAAUGGCAGGUCACGUACAUCACUGUGACCACAGAGGGAAGUGGUCUCCGCUUUUGACGAUCCUCUGAUUCCACUGGGCCCACCUGCGAAGCCCGGACCAUUUCCCUGAUCCAAACCUUUGAGGUAUUUCAUUUCCGCGGCCCCUGCAAGCCAUGGGCUUGGUGAUGACAAGACAGGGCGUUCCUUGGUCACUCGGGAACCCAGCACCCCUGAACAAGCCCUGCCAUGAGGAGAUCGUCAAGAAUUAUUUCUUGGAAACUCAGAGAGGGGCUGUACAGGACCCCCGAGCCUUUGGAGGAUGCCCUGACAAUUGGGGGGGGGGGCUCCCAAACAGGAAGAGUGUCCGCUGCACUCAGGCCCUAGUGGUCACUACUUUCCAGGGCCACGCUGAUGUCUGAGGUCACUGUCACAAACUGGAAAGUCUGGGAUUCCAGGUGGCCAGGGGCUGCAGACACAGCACUGAACCUGGGGAGAGGAGAAAACCCUAGCCAGUGAGUUCUCUUUGAUGCGGCCUGGGAGGACCGUUUGCAGGGGUCUGGGGGGCGGGCGCGCCCGGCACACUGUGGCAGUCGUGCGGUACGAUCGCUGCUGUCCACGACGCCGGGAGGGACCGUUGGUGGCUCUGGGUCUCCCGCUGUCGCCCUUGCGCCCCUCCGCCUCUGCUGCCGCCCGGCCCUCGCCCACCCGCACUUGCUCACGCCCAGCUGUGCCCACGGGCU